GACGAACGCUGGCGGCGUGCUUAACACAUGCAAGUCGAACGGAAAGGCUCCAGCUUGCUGGAGCACUCGAGUGGCGAACGGGUGAGUAACACGUGGCUAAUCUGCCCUGCACUCUGGGCUACGCCUGGGAAACUGGGUCUCCUACUGGAUAUGACCUUUCUCCUUAUGGGGUUUGGAGGAUAGUUCUUCGGUGUAGGAUGAGCCCGCGGCCUAUCAGCUUGUUGGUGGGGUGAUGGCCUACCAAGGCGACGACGGGUAGCCGGCCUGAGAGGGUGAUCGGCCACAUGGGGACGGAGAUACGGCCCAGACUCCUACGGGAGGCAGCGGUGGGGAAUAUUGCACAAUGGGCGGAGGCCGGAUGCAGCGACGCCGCGUGAGGGAUGACGGCCUUCGGGUGGUAAACCUCUUUCAGCAGGGACGAGGCGUAAGUGACGGUACCUGCAGAAGAAGCACCGGCUAACUAUGUG
rnacentral:rRNA from 1 species